CGGGUGAGUAACACGUAUCCAACCUGCCGUCUACUCUUGGACAGCCUUCUGAAAGGAAGAUUAAUACAAGAUGGCAUCAUGAGUCCGCAUGUUCACAUGAUUAAAGGUAUUCCGGUAGACGAUGGGGAUGCGUUCCAUUAGAUAGUAGGCGGGGUAACGGCCCACCUAGUCUUCGAUGGAUAGGGGUUCUGAGAGGAAGGUCCCCCACACUGGAACUGAGACACGGUCCAG
rnacentral:rRNA from 1 species